rnacentral:SRP_RNA from 2 species
UAUAGCUAUCACAAUGGAAUCUACUGAACCUGGUCAGGUCGGGAACGAAGCAGCCAUAAGGGAGCUCUUUCAUGUGUGGUAGCUUUUAUU